rnacentral:rRNA from 1 species
GUGGGGAAUCUUCCGCAAUGGACGAAAGUCUGACGGAGCAACGCCGCGUGAACGAUGACGGCCUUCGGGUUGUAAAGUUCUGUUAUACGGGACGAAUGGUACGACGGCCAAUACCCGUCGUAAGUGACGGUACCGUAAGAGAAAGCCACGGCUAACUACGUGCCAGCAGCCGCGGUAAUACGUAGGUGGCAAGCGUUGUCCGGAAUUAUUGGGCGUAAAGGGCGCGCAGGCGGCGUCGUAAGGCGGUCUUAAAAGUGCGGGGCUUAACCCCGUGAGGGGACCGAAACUGCGAUGCUAGAGUAUCGGAGAGGAAAGCGGAAUUCCUAGUGUAGCGGUGAAAUGCGUAGAUAUUAGGAGGAACACCAGUGGCGAAAGCGGCUUUCUGGACGACAACUGACGCUGAGGCGCGAAAGCUAGGGCAGCGAACGGGAUUAGAUACCCGAGUAGUCC